rnacentral:rRNA from 1 species
AGAGUUUGAUCAUGGCUCAGGAUGAACGCUGGCGGUAUGCCUAAUACAUGCAAGUCGAACGCUCUGUCCCACUGAUCUAUGAAGUGCUUGCACCGAUUAGUGAUUUGGAUUUUGCAGAGAGUGGCGGACGGGUGAGUAACACGUAGGUAACCUACCUUGUAGUUUAGAAUAACUAUUAGAAAUGAUAGCUAAUACUGAAUAAUAUCUUUUUUCGCAUGAAAGAAGAUUGAAAGGUCCGUUUGGAUCGCUAUAAGAUGGACCUGCGGUGCAUUAGCUAGUUGGUAGGGUAAUGGCCUACCAAGGCGAUGAUGCAUAGCCGAGCUGAGAGGCUGAUCGGCCACAAUGGGACUGAGACACGGCCCAUACUCCUACGGGAGGCAGCAGUAGGGAAUUUUUCGCAAUGGACGAAAGUCUGACGGAGCAAUACCGCGUGUGGGAAGAAUGUUUUCGGACUGUAAACCACUGUUGUAAGGGAAGAACAAGUAGAUUAGGAAAUGAAUCUACCUUGACGGUACCUACCAGAAA